UUUUUAAAUAAAGACUAGUAUGAACGGCCGCACGAGGACCUAACUGUCUCCUUUGUCCGAUCAGUGAAACUGAUCCCCUCGUGCAGAAGCGAGGAUUUUAUCAUAAGACGAGAAGACCCUAUGGAGCUUUAAACUUUUAUUAACCAUUUUCUUUUCCUCUCUAAGGGGCUAACAACUAAUUUAAUUUUCUUAAUAAAAGUUUUGGGUUGGGGCGACCAUGGAGAAAAAAAAAUCCUCCCUGAUGACUUCCUAACUAAGAGCCACAGCUCCAAGUAUUAAGACACUUAACUCCUAUUGACCCAUUUUAUGAUCAACGAACCAAGUUACCCUAGGGAUAACAGCGCAAUCCAUUUCAAGAGUCCCUAUCGAC
rnacentral:rRNA from 1 species